ACGCUCGACACCUACGGGAGACAGCAGUGGGGAAUAUUGCACAAUGGGGGAAACCCUGAUGCAGCGACGCCGCGUGAGCGAAGAAGUAUCUCGGUAUGUAAAGCUCUAUCAGCAGGGAAGAAGAUGACGGUACCUGACUAAGAAGCACCGGCUAAAUACGUGCCUGCAGCCGCGGUAAUCUGAGCGGGCUGGCAAGGC
rnacentral:rRNA from 1 species